rnacentral:rRNA from 1 species
GCCAGACUCCUACGGGAGGCAGCAGUGGGGGAUAUUGCACAAUGGGGGGAACCCUGAUGCAGCGACGCCGCGUGGGUGAAGGAGCGUUUCGGCGCGUAAAGCCCUCUCGGCAGGGAAGAAGGAGGACGGUACCUGACUAAGAAGCCCCGGCUAACUACGUGCCAGCAGCCGCGGUAAUACGUAGGGGGCAAGCGUUAUCCGGAUUUACUGGGUGUAAAGGGGGCGCAGACGGCAGCGCAAGCCAGGAGUGAAAGCCCGGGGCCCAACCCCGGGACUGCUCUUGGAACUGCGCGGCUGGAGUGCAGGAGGGGCAGGCGGAAUUCCUGGUGUAGCGGUGAAAUGCGUAGAUAUCAGGAGGAACACCGGUGGCGAAGGCGGCCUGCUGGACUGCGACUGACGUUGAGGCCCGAAAGCGUGGGGAGCAAACAGGAUUAGAUACCCUAGUACGG